rnacentral:misc_RNA from 1 species
GAUGAAGAACGUAGCGAAAUGCGAUAAGUAGUGUGAAUUGCAGAAUUCAGUGAAUCAUCGAAUCUUUGAACGCACAUUGCGCCCCUUGGUAUUCCAUGGGGCAUGCCUGUUCGAGCGUCAUUUGUACCUUCAAGCUCUGCUUGGUGUUGGGUGUUUGUCUCGCCUCUGCGUGUAGACUCGCCUCAAAACAAUUGGCAGCCGGCGUAUUGUUUUCGGAGCGCAGUACAUCUCGCGCUUUGCACUCAUAACGACGACGUCCAAAAGUACAUUUUUACACUCUUGACCUCGGAUCAGGUAGGGAUACCGCUGAACUUAAGCAUAUCAAUAAGCGGAGGA